rnacentral:rRNA from 1 species
GACGAACGCUGGCGGCGUGCUUAACACCUGCAAGUCGAACGGUAAGGCCCUUCGGGGUACACGAGUGGCGAACGGGUGAGUAACACGUGGGUGAUCCGCCCUGCACUUCGGGAUAAGCCUGGGGAACUGGGUCUAAUACCAGAUAGGACCACUGCCUGCAUGGGUGGUGGUGGAAAGCUUUUGCGGUGUGGGAUGGGCCCGCGGCCUAUCAGCUUGUUGGUGGGGUGUUGGCCUACCAAGGCGACGACGGGUAGCCGGCCUGAGAGGGUGGCCGGCCACACUGGGACUGAGAUACGGCCCAGACUCCUACGGGAGGCAGCAGUGGGGAAUAUUGCACAAUGGGCGCAAGCCUGAUGCAGCGACGCCGCGUGAGGGAUGACGGCCUUCGGGUUGUAAACCUCUUUCAGCACCGACGAAGCGCAAGUGACGGUAGGUGCAGAAGAAGGACCGGCCAACUACGUGCCAGCAGCCGCAGUAA